UACGUAGGGUGCAAGCGUUGUCCGGAAUUAUUGGGCGUAAAGAGCUCGUAGGCGGUCUGUCGCGUCGGAUGUGAAAACCCAGGGCUCAACCCUGGGCCUGCAUUCGAUACGGGCAGACUAGAGUUCGGUAGGGGAGACUGGAAUUCCUGGUGUAGCGGUGAAAUGCGCAGAUAUCAGGAGGAACACCGGUGGCGAAGGCGGGUCUCUAGUACGGUACUGACGCUGAGACGCGAAAGCGUGGGGAGCGAACAGG
rnacentral:rRNA from 1 species